AUUGAACGCUGGCGGCAUGCCUUACACAUGCAAGUCGAACGGUAACAGGUCUUCGGAUGCUGACGAGUGGCGAACGGGUGAGUAAUACAUCGGAACGUGCCCGAUCGUGGGGGAUAACGCAGCGAAAGCUGUGCUAACACCGCAUACGAUCUACGGAUGAAAGCGGGGGAUCGCAAGACCUCGCGCGGACGGAGCGGCCGAUGGCAGAUUAGGUAGUUGGUGGGAUAAAAGCUUACCAAGCCGACGAUCUGUAGCUGGUCUGAGAGGACGACCAGCCACACUGGGACUGAGACACGGUCCAGACUCCUACGGGAGGCAGCAGUAGGGAAUAUUGGACAAUGGGCGCAAGCCUGAUCCAGCCAUGCCGCGUGAGUGAAGAAGGCCCUCGGGUUGUAAAGCUCUUUUGUCCGGAAAGAAAAGCGCCGGGUUAAUACCCUGGUGUCCUGACGGUACCGGAAGAAUAAGCACCGGCUAACUUCGUGCCAGCAGCCGCGGUAA
rnacentral:rRNA from 1 species